rnacentral:rRNA from 1 species
UACAGAGGUCUCAAGCGUUGUUCGGAUUCAUUGGGCGUAAAGGGUGCGUAGGCGGCGCGGUAAGUCGGGUGUGAAAUCUCCGAGCUCAACUCGGAAAUGGCAUUGGAAACUACCUUGCUCGAGGGUUGGAGGGGGGACUGGAAUACUUGGUGUAGCAGUGAAAUGCGUAGAUAUCAAGUGGAACACCAGUGGCGAAGGCGAGUCCCUGGACAACUCCUGACACUGAGGCACGAAAGCUAGGGGAGCAAACAGG